rnacentral:tRNA from 1 species
UUCCCAGCGAACCGGUAACUGCCCUCCGGAGGCAGAGGUCACAGGUUCGACUCCUGUCGGGUGCGCCA